AUGUUUGAGCCUGUAGAAUGGAUAUAUGAAGACGUCAAUUUCCCUAACCCACCAAUCACAGACGGUUGCGUGCGUCAACACAGCGAAAGGGGGCGGUCUGUUGUCAACAUUUUUUGCAGCGCUUCGCAGUGAAGCAGCUGAAAGAGCUACCAUGGCCUCUUCGGGGUUUCGUGGUGACGUUUCCCAGGUGCGUGGCGGCCGUGAUCCCGUCUUCUCUGAGGCCAUCAACCAGAAGAUGCGUGUCCCGGACCGGCUGAGAGUGGGGCCAGGCAUGGGACAGGGAGGGGAAGAGGCGAGGCAGGGGCGUGCUGAGCGUCCCGCUUCCUAUAGCAUGCACAUCCCAGACAGGCUGUCUCUCACAGAUGCCCCGGACAUGAGCCCCCGUCCACUGUUCACGCCAUCCAAGCACAACUCAGCCCUCCCCCUGGGGCUUGCAUGGGAGGCACAGCAGCAAGGUGCCUGGGACAGAGACCCCUACAUGAGGGAACCAGUGCAGAGUCCCCUGCGGAGGUCCUACAGUGACCAGGCUUUUGGCAGGAGUGACCCUGACACCCCCACUUCCAAACAGGCACUGCACACCCCCACCUUGUAA
rnacentral:lncRNA from 1 species